UUUUUACGAGCAUAUUACAUCCUUUUUUCUCGUUAAUUAUCAUCCAAUUAAUAACUAAAUUUGAGAAAACAGUUGUCUGAAGCCAGACCAGAUUGAAAACGUCGACGAAUUCGGUAAUCUAAGGAACGUUGAAAAAGGGUUGAGCAGACGAAAACAAAGUUGUCUGCCAAGGCGGUGUUUUGGCAUGGUUUUGGUGAAUCUGUGCCGACUUGAACUCCGAACGUGUUACGAUUUCACCUGACUUAAAUCAUAAAUAGUUUUAGGAGAAUAUUAUACCUGCUUGAGUUUGCCUGCCUCACAGGUUUCCUCUGAGUAGCUAGUUUAGUCAUGCUCGUAUGUGUUUUACUGUUUUGGCAUUGAACAAAUGCACCAAUUGACAUUGACUGAAAUGCAGAAAAACUUGUAAUGCCCAUUCCGUUCUCUCACAAGUCACAAGAAGACAUAAAUGAAGCGUUGACGUCACUUGGAGGUUAUGGGAGUCGGUAUGACGUUAUUGGGGCACUAGGAUCUAGGAUGUUUGCUUGUGUAUGAGAUGGGCCUGUAUCAUUCCUUGUUGGACAGAUUAAUUGUGAGGGCCUUGGAUAUGACCAAAUGCCAAUGCUGACUGGUGAUGAUGGCUCUUUUUCGACUUUUUGGCUGACAUUUUUCUUUUUGGUGUGAAAUGCUUGGAGCGGAUGGAGCCCUGGCUCUUCUGUGAAUCAGCUCAACUGAUGGUUUGAUUCUACAUAAAACAGAAUAGGCAUUUCAAACUUAAUUUCAAACUUAAUUUCAAACUUAAUUUCAAACUUAAUAACGAAAUCACGGUAAUUGGUAAAAUCUGACAUGAUAAGUGGCCUAGUGUAAUAUUUGUGAGUAAUCGUUUGUCUAGAAUAAAACACAUCGCGUCAGUAUUGCAAUGUACAAACUGUUAUUAAGUUUUAAUUUUUAUUGAGACAUGCUCUUCGACUUGUCUCCUCAGUAGAUUUUUCAAAUGCUUAGUCAUCUUAAUUACAAAUUGUUGACAUUUUCAUUCUGUUUUCAGGCCCCCGCCGCAAUUCCAUGGUGGUAGCGAGAGAUUGCUGAAAUUCAACACUAUUAAUACAUGAUGUAGUUAGAUAAAUUACAAGUGCGCAUAUCUAGAUUAGAUGUACUAAAUUGGAAUGACAAACUUUAUGAGAAGUCUUGUCCUUUCAAGAAAAAGGAUAUCAGAACAUUUGGAUACCCAACCUUCAACUUUUGGUUGCAGUUCAGGACUGAGACUAACAAGUCCAGCAAAAUCAUCGCUUAACAGCUGACCCUGACGGUGCCAAGCAAACACCAUAAGCCGAAGAUAAAGACAACGUAAAAGUUCCCAAGUCUAAGGAUGUCUGUCGUGGCAAACUGAUUGCGUAGCAACUGGAGAAAGUGUUUGUCGAGCAAACGAACUGUGAUGUCGAACUCUUGUUAGAAGACGAGGAGGUAAUCGGAGGCCAUAUUUCCAUCUUGGUUGCCAGAAGUCCCGUUUUCUCUGCCAUGUUUUACCACAACCUUCAAAAAUCCAUGACGUGCAAAGUCUUCGUCCAAGACAUCCGGCCACAGAUUUUCAAAGAGAUGCUACAGUACAUUUACUCCGGCCAGACUAUGGCUCCUUUGAUGGACGCCAUCGCUCAACCUCUGUUCGUACUUUCAGUCAAAUACGAUAUCGAGGACCUUAAAGAAAAGUGUGUCCAUUAUCUACUGAAAAGCAUCCGGACGAGUAAUGCAGUUGACUUGUUGGGGGCAAAUCUUCAUUCGGUGGAUAAAAUCCAAGAAUCAACUCUUGACUUUGUGGCCAUAAAUUUCAAAAUCAUUUGUCAGUCCAAUGAAUGGGAGAACUUGAUGAAGAACUAUCCGGACUCAAGAGCUUGGAUUCCUGGUGGCUCGACGUUAUGUAGCUCUUUAAGAGAUACGCCAGCCAAAGAGUUCUGUAUAACUUUAAAUGCGGUUCCAGCGUCACCACCAAUAUCCACAAUUCCACAUGAGUUCACGAUCCUUGCAACAACAACACGUACAGCAUGAUACUGGACACUUAAGCAAGCUAAGGUUGCAGAGAAAUAUUUAAAAAAUAGCCGACUGCUGUCCUUCAAACGGUUCGAAAUGGAAGAUUUAUUCAUUCACCGAAGAAACGAGUCAAAUGACUCAGAUGUCAAUUGGUUAAAAAACCCAUCCCCAGCGACGUCAACCUGCAGAAGGAAAGGCCA
rnacentral:lncRNA from 1 species